CCAAAGAGAAAAGUGGACAAAGCUCACUUCCCUACAGACUGGCUGCAGUGUGUCUGGGGCUGCUGUGUGCUCUUUUAUUGGCUGCCACAUUAGUCAUGUGUGUCCUCUAUUCUGGAGAAGUGGACAGCCAGAUGAUCAUUUCUGGUUUGACAGUCGGACACAGUACCAAGAUGCAGAUCGUGCAGUUACUGUGCCUGGUGAGAAUGCAUGGAUGGACACACACUGCUAUUCGUACCACUGGUUUAUCUGUGAGACUGAUGCUCUGCUACACAUCAGUAGUUGUUUUAAGUCUUAAUAAGAACAUCUGCUUAGUGAUAAUGUUGCAAUGUAAAAAAUAGACCGUGUGCUCAGUAACAGCUAUGCUAAUGGAGGAUGAGAGACUUAUAAACUCAUUGCUAUCAGAGCAAUAGAUUAAACACAGCUACUGAACAAUGCUAGGAAAUAAGCCAGGAAUUUCAUGUGAGCAUAACGCACACUGUGAAAAUAAAUAUUGUGCUUGACUGUGCUGAAAGGGUUCACCUUUACUUUUGCAUGUAUAGCUUUAAGUGUCACGUAGAAACUGUGUGAUUGCUCCAUCUGUCUGCCAUAUUAUUUCAGUAUACAAACUGACCAGAAGAAAGUGUGAACAAAACAUAGUUCACACUUUU